UUUCAUUAUAUAUAUAUCAACUUUCAUUAUAUAUAUAUCAAAUCUUUUUUUCCUACCGAGCCCCGGAAGGGACAUGUCCGUAUGGCGAAGCGACAAUGAAGGACACUCACCCGGACGAGAAUUUUAUUGAGUUUUAUUUUGAAAUCGGCCUGAAAUACACAGACAUUCAAGCAGUGCGAUGCGCUAAGAGUCUGCCAUGCAGACCAGCGAUCCAGAUAAUGGUAAGUUUUAUUUCUCCAACAUCCUGCUGUUAUCCUACUAUGAAUACGCUAGCUACAACAGUCCCACAUCAGUAUUAUGAACGUUCCGCCAGCUAACGCGGUCCGGACACCGGAUCACUGAUUAGAGGUUGGCGUUGAACUAUUGUUUGCCAGCCAGUUAGCCGCUGGUAAGCUAACAAGCUAUGAAACAACUCCUUAUAAAACCGGAGGAAAGCAGCAGCAAUAUUUCAGUCCAAGACCUGUAUUCAGAACCUCCCACGCUGUUACACAAUGACCCAUUAAUCAUAUUACUGAACUAUAUGGUUAUCAUUGAAAUUUUCCUUGAAGAACCAGUGAACUCUUUGCGAACACAUUUUAAUUUAUGUGUUGAUUAUGUUUCGUAUCAGUAAUACAAGUCUAAAAAACUGAUUCAAAUGAUCAAGUUAACACAAUGAAGUAAAGAGUACUGGUAAUCUGCAGCUAUUUUCAUAAUUUCAAGGUAAAAUUCUGAUGUGUGAUUUUCCAGCUUUGCAGAUGUGGAAAUCCAAUGCACUGAUUUCUUAUACACAGAUGCUUUUGGUGUUUUUUGUUGUAAAAUAAAACAAGGCAUUUAUCACUGUUGGAAAUUAUUACAGGUAUUAUUUGUAACACUUUCUAACAUUGUAUGGACAAAGCAAUAAAUCAGUUAAUGGAUAAAAUCAUUUGUAUUACAGAUGCUAUCAACAGCAUGUCUUGUUCAUUUUAUUUAGUUGUCGGCCUUGGAUGAUGAGGUCCAGUUACCAGGAGCACUAGUCUGCAGCUUACUGGUUCCGUCCUGCAGCUCCUCCACGCUGUCCUCCUCUCUACAGACCAAAUCAAGAAAAGGGAACCAGGAAGCUGCUGUGGAUCCUCUGCAGUGUCUGGAGAGGUCAGAGGAACGGUUCUUGGAACAGAUCGGAAGACACCAAGACGUGACCUCUGCCAUGCUCCAGAACAUCCAGAAGAUGAAUGAAAACCUUGGUUGCACUGAUGGGACGCAUGGUGUUGGUGCUGGAGCAACUGUCCCAGAAUUAAACUGCAUUGUUGACUAUUGGCUUUUCUAGAAAAUAAAUCUUUUUUAGUACUU